AUGAAGGUGAGACUACAUCUUGCAUCUUUCCGUCCAGGGAGCGCCAGCUGGGUUGGAUGCUCUUGCCUGAACGAAUGCAUGUGGGUUUUCCCCACAGCAGAGCUUGAUCUGAAGACCUGGGUGCAGGGAAGAAGCAGAGAGAUGGGGAAGGAGGAAGAGCAUUACCAAGAGUCCACACUGCUUUGAGCAGUACCGGCAUUACUCCCCCCGCCCGGCCCCUUUCAGGAAGCAUCUAGAUGCCUCUAGAAGACAGAUGUUUCUUCAGUGCUUCUGUCCCCUGUCACUGAAGGGACCUGCACUUGCCGGGGGCCUAGUGGGCCCUGAAAGACCCCUGCCUGUCCCCUGGACAGUGGUGACAAGUUCCUGAUAUUCUUCCUGCCUCUGUGUCUGCCUCCAACCUGCCCUGCGUGUACUGUCGGAGUAGCCUUCAAAGGAACUCCUGGCUCGCAAGGCUUCAUGAUGUCACUGAGAAGAGAUUAGCUGCUCGGGAUGGCUCCCCAGAUCUCUCCAGUUGACCUCAGACUCCUUGCAGGGAGCCUGGCCCCAGGCCAGCACCACUAGCACCCCCGGGCACCCAGACCUUCCUACCCCCACAUGUGGUCUUGCUCUCGCCUGCCUUCUUCUCAGCAUCUGGAGCCCUACCUGUCCCUCAGGGACACCUGUCACCCGUGUCAGCUUUGCAUCUCUGUGUAUACUCAACGGUGUGGCCCUACAGCACUGCAGAAGACUCGGUGCUUCAUCCUGGCCUACGUGGAGGAGCUCCCCUGUGCCAGAAAAGAGCCUCAUAAUGACGUGGUAACAAAUUCACUGGGCUGCCCUGGUGUUGCUGUGAUGUCCUCCCCCCUCCUGCUCCCGGAGACUCAGGCCACUGGCCCUGCUCACCUGCCCCUUGGCUUCUUUCAAUUUGUUCCCAAAGUCUCUGAGUUACUUUGGUGCCAGAAUGUCUUUUGGAAAAACACAUCAAGGACAGAACGUGAAAGGAAUGGUACAGAAAUAAAUAAAUGA
rnacentral:lncRNA from 1 species